rnacentral:rRNA from 1 species
CUACGGGGCGCUGCAGUGGGGAAUAUUGCGCAAUGGGGGAAACCCUGACGCAGUGACGCCGUGUGAGUGAUGAAGGUUUUCGGAUCGUAAAGCUCUGUCAGAUGGGAAGAAUAAAGACAGAAAAAAUAUUUCUGCCUGAUGACGGUACCAUCAGAGGAAGCACCGGCUAACUCCGUGCCAGCAGCCGCGGUAAUACGGAGGGUGCAAACGUUGUUCGGAAUUACUGGGCGUAAAGCGCAUGUAGGCGGAUAUGUAGGUCAGAUGUGAAAGCCCUUGGCUCAACCAAGGAAGUGCAUCUGAAACCACAUAUCUUGAGUAUGACAGAGGGAAGUGGAAUUCCAAGUGUAGAGGUGAAAUUCAUAGAUAUUUGGAAGAACACCGGUGGCGAAGGCGGCUUUCUGGGUCAUAACUGACGCUGAGAUGCGAAAGCGUGGGUAGCAAACAGGAUUAGAUACCCCUGUAGUC